UACGAAGGGGGCUGGCGUUGUUCGGAAUUACUGGGCGUAAAGCGCGCGCAGGCGGUCUUUCAAGUCAGUGGUGAAAGCCCGGAGCUCAACUCCGGAAAUGCCAUUGAAACUGUGAGACUUGAGGAUGAGAGAGGUGAGUGGAAUUCCCAGUGUAGAGGUGAAAUUCGUAGAUAUUGGGAAGAACACCGGUGGCGAAGGCGGCUACACUGGCUCAGUUUCUGACGCUCAGGCGCGACAGCGUGGGGAUCAAACAGG
rnacentral:rRNA from 1 species